rnacentral:rRNA from 1 species
GACAGAGGGUGCAAACGUUGUUCGGAAUUACUGGGCGUAAAGCGCGUGUAGGUGGCGAGGCAAGUCGGGUGUGAAAGCCCUGGGCUCAACCCAGGAGGUGCACUCGAUACUGCCUAGCUAGAGUCCCGGAGAGGUUGGUGGAACUCUCGGUGUAGAGGUGAAAUUCGUAGAUAUCGAGAAGAACACCGGUGGCGAAGGCGGCCAACUGGACGGUGACUGACACUGAGACGCGAAAGCGUGGGGAGCAAACAGG